AUUGAACGCUGGCGGCAGGCUUAACACAUGCAAGUCGAGCGGAGAUGAGGUGCUUGCACCUUAUCUUAGCGGCGGACGGGUGAGUAAUGCUUAGGAAUCUGCCUAUUAGUGGGGGACAACAUUCCGAAAGGAAUGCUAAUACCGCAUACGUCCUACGGGAGAAAGCAGGGGAUCUUCGGACCUUGCGCUAAUGGAUGAGCCUAAGUCGGAUUAGCUAGUUGGUGGGGUAAAGGCCUACCAAGGCGACGAUCUGUAGCGGGUCUGAGAGGAUGAUCCGCCACACUGGGACUGAGACACGGCCCAGACUCCUACGGGAGGCAGCAGUGGGGAAUAUUGGACAAUGGGGGGAACCCUGAUCCAGCCAUGCCGCGUGUGUGAAGAAGGCCUUAUGGUUGUAAAGCACUUUAAGCGAGGAGGAGGCUACUGAGACUAAUACUCUUGGAUAGCGGACGUUACUCGCAGAAUAAGCACCGGCUAACUCUGUGCCAGCCGCCGCAGUAAAAC
rnacentral:rRNA from 1 species